UAUUUUUCAUUUUCAGAAACCCAUUCUUACUCUCACUUAAUCAAAACUCAUUUCUCCUCUUCGCUUAAUCUCUUCAUUUCCUCCGAUUUCAAGCCCAUUUCUUCUUCAUUUUCUCCGAUUCAAGCCCGUGUAGCUCUUUGUUUUUCUUCAGCAAAGCAAAAUUCCAAAUACAAUAGCUCUCUGCUUUUCUUCAGCGCCUCCUCUUUCUUCAGCGCCUCCUCUGUUGCAAAAUGAAAGAGAUAUGAAAGAAAACUUCAGAUCUAUCAAUCAAUUGGAUAAUCUGUGUAUUUUGAAGAAAUUUGGUAGAAUCCGUGUAUUUUGAAUCGGCAGAAAUUUGGUAGUAUCGACAGAAAUUUGGUAGAAUCGGUGUAUUUUGAAGAAGGAUAAAACACUCUUUGUUGAAAUCGAGAUAACUCCUGGGGACCUUCAGAGAAGAUGCAAUUGUCGCCGACUGCUUUCCAAUCAGACUCAAGGU